AGCGAACGCUGGCGGCAGGCCUAAUACAUGCAAGUCGAGCGCACCUUCGGGUGAGCGGCGGACGGGUGAGUAACGCGUGGGAAUGUGCCCUUUGGUACGGAACAACUGAGGGAAACUUCAGCUAAUACCGUAUGUGCCCUUCGGGGAAAGGAUUUAUCGCCAUUGGAGCAGCCCGCGUUGGAUUAGGUAGUUGGUGAGGUAAAGGCUCACCAAGCCGACGAUCCAUAGCUGGUCUGAGAGGAUGAUCAGCCACACUGGGACUGAGACACGGCCCAGACUCCUACGGGAGGCAGCAGUAGGGAAUCUUGCGCAAUGGGCGAAAGCCUGACGCAGCGACGCCGCGUGGGGGA
rnacentral:rRNA from 1 species